rnacentral:rRNA from 1 species
GUCUACAGCCGUACCACCCUGAACACACCCAGUCUCAUCUGAUCGCGGAAGCUAAGCAGGGUCAGACCUGGUUAGUAUUUGGAUGGGAGACAGCCUGGGAAUACCAGGUGCUGUAGGCU